GGGUACCGAGAAUACAGAAGCUUCACCGGCUUUGUAACUUAUCCGAACCUUGUUCUAAUAUUAGGAUAUGAUUCUAAUAGAAAAGAAGACGCACAAAGGGCACACUUCCUAUAUGAUUUAAAAGACUCGAAGAGAAGAGGGUCUCGUAACAAUUUAUAUAUAUUCCUAGCAAUAUCAAAGCGGUAAAAAGCGACAUUUAGCACAUUAAGCUCAAACACAUAAAAAUCAGAUAAUAAGUAAAAGCCAACUAUAGCAGUUAUUCUAAGCUUGAGUUCUAAACCC
rnacentral:lncRNA from 1 species